AGGGAAGGGGUUUUGAGCUCAGUGGCAGAUUAUCUGCCUUGCAUACAGAAGGUCCUGGGUUCAACCCCCAGCUUCUCUG